ACAGCAGUCGCCGCGGGAAUACGUAGGUGGCAAGCGUUGUCCGGAAUUAUUGGGCGUAAAGCGCGCGCAGGUGGUUUAAUAAGUCUGAUGUGAAAGCCCACGGCUCAACCGUGGAGGGUCAUUGGAAACUGUUAAACUUGAGUGCAGGAGAGAAAAGUGGAAUUCCUAGUGUAGCGGUGAAAUGCGUAGAGAUUAGGAGGAACACCAGUGGCGAAGGCGGCUUUUUGGCCUGUAACUGACACUGAGGCGCGAAUGCGUGGGGAGCAAACAGGAUUAGAUACCCCCGUAGUCCCUGUCUCUUAUAU
rnacentral:rRNA from 1 species